rnacentral:piRNA from 1 species
UUCACUUGUACUUUCAGAUUC